rnacentral:tRNA from 1 species
GGUUCCGUGGUGUAGUGGUUAUCACGUUCGCUUCACACGCGAAAGGUCCCCAGUUUGAUACUGGGCGGAAUCA